ACAGACCCGGCGGCCUCGAAUGCUGGGAAGAAACGUGCGAGGCCUGGGCGGUGCGGCCCGCGAUUUCCGCCCGGGUCUCCACUGCAGCACGCGAGCCGGUGCGGGUGGGAGGCAGCCAGACCUAAUAGGGGUGCCCUUGAAAGUCUGGACUUUUCUGCUGUAGCAAGUUUAAAGAUCGGUUAUGUGAACAAAGCGCCCCAUCUAGGUCUGAAAGAAUUCUGCCCAGGCAGUGGUGCCCCCACCAUACCGGGAAAACGCAGGCUGCCGGCCCAGCACGCGUGGACCCCGCGCUGCGCGCAAAAUCUUACUGCUCUCGCCCCCUCCAGCCUAGGCUCUCCUGGAGAAAAAGUUUUCUCUGGUCAUCCCUACUUCUUUUGCUCACUGAUGGGAAACAACAAACAUAAAACUCUUGACUC
rnacentral:lncRNA from 1 species